ACGCUGCUGGAUAAGUGGGUAACUAAAGGUGAAAAGCCUGCGACGGAGCAACAACACUAUGUCAUGGCGGUUCUGAUCCGCGGCGGUGUA
rnacentral:tRNA from 1 species